AGUAGUUAAAGAGCCGCGGUACUCUGACCGUGCAAAGGUAGCAUAAUCAUUAGUUUCUUAAUUAGAAACUCGUAUGAAUGGUUGAACAAAAGAAGAGCUGUCUCUGGUAUAAAAGUAGAAUUUAACUUUUAAGUGAAAAGGCUUAAAUUAUUCAGGGGGACGAUAAGACCCUAUAAAGCAUUUUAUUGGGGAGAUAUAAGUAUAAUUUGUAACUGCUUAUAAGUCGAUACAUUGAUAAUUGUAAUGAUCCUUUGAAUAAAGAUUCAAGACCAAGUUACUUUAGGGAUAACAGCGUUAUUUUUUUUGAGAGUUCAUAUCGAAAAAAAAGUUUGCGACCUCGAUGUUGAAUUAAAAUUAUCUUUAUAGUGCAGCCGCUGUAAAAGAGGGUCUGUUCGACCUUUAAAUUUUU
rnacentral:rRNA from 1 species